rnacentral:lncRNA from 1 species
GUGGAUCACAGGGAUCAUAAUGGCUUCACCACGGCAUAGCCUGUUCAGAGGACCUUACAAAAUUGUGCAUCAUGAAAUUUAUCAACUACUUAUAGUAAAGGAAUGACAAAAAUAAAUUUAAAAGGAGGGGUUAGCUUCCACCACCUAGACUACUAUCAUAUGCUUUUAUAUUCCUAUAUGCACAGCAUAUGCUUCUAUAUAUGUUAGACAUCUUAAUAUACCCUGGGUUAGCGGCAGCGUAAGAUGGUGUUUAAGAAGAAAGGCUCUGCAAGACUCCGUCUCAAAAAAAGAAAAAUAAAAAAAAGAAGAAGAAAGGCUCUGGAGGCAGAUAUACUGCAGCCAGAUCCCGGCCCAAUAGGAAUACAACAUGUUUAAGACCACAGAACAUCUGCAUAGGCUGUAAAUUUCGUUGAAUGAUGGAUGCAAAGAUGGAAGACAGAUGGAUAGAGGAAAAGACAGAAUCAGAUACUGGAUGAGUUAGUACUGCUGCCUGUGCUUCAGAGCUGUCUUAUUACCACAAGGCCGGCAAGCAUCAAUGUCCCCACAUCCCCCUCUGCCUCCCCCUGAAAUGUACCGAUUUAUAUGAAAAUUAAGAUUACAAAUUAAAGCCUGGCUAUCCUGGAGUUUUCCAGUUCAUCAGCCAUCCAAUAAAAAUGAUGUCAAGCCUGUAUGCAUAAUUCCCGGAAGAUUACUUUCGUCCUUACAGCUAAGCCCUGUCCCUGAUAUGAAAGAUCUCUAUCCACUUUUAUUGAAAUAAAGAACUAACAUCAUAAUCCCAAUAUUGAGGUAUAAUCUUCAUUAUC